rnacentral:rRNA from 1 species
UACGUAGGGGGCAAGCGUUAUCCGGAAUCACUGGGCGUAAAGGGUGCGUAGGCGGUCCUUCAAGCCAGAGGUAAAAGGCAUUGGCUUAACCAAUGUAAGCCUUUGGAACUGUGGGACUUGAGUGUAGGAGAGGUAAGUGGAAUUCCUAGUGUAGCGGUGAAAUGCGUAGAUAUUAGGAGGAACACCAGUGGCGAAGGCGACUUACUGGACUAUAACUGACGCUGAGGCACGAAAGCGUGGGGAGCAAACAGG